UCGUAACAAGGUCUCCGUUGGUGAACCAGCGGAGGGAUCAUUACAGAGAACAAAUCUCUACAAAACUCGCGAACUUACCUUCGUUGCCUCGGCGGGCAGCUCCUCUCCCGGGAGGAGCCUCGGCCACCCGUCCCGCUCGCGGGGCUGGCGGCGGCCCGCCGGAGGAACCCAAACCCUGUCGUAUCUAGGCAUCUCCGAGUGCUACGGAAAUACGUUACAACUUUCAACAAUGGAUCUCUUGGCUCUGGUAUCGAUGAAGAACGCAGCGAAAUGCGAUACGUAAUGUGAAUUGCAGAACCUAGUGAAUCAUCGAGUCUUUGAACGCACCUUGCGCCCGCCAGUAUUCUGGCGGGCACGCCCGUCCGAGCGUCAUUUAAACCCCGUCAAGCCCAGCUUGUGUUGGGGCCCUGCGGCCGCCGCAGGCCCCGAAACGGAGUGGCCGGCCCCGGCGCCGCCCCCAGCGUAGUAGACCUACCUCGCUGUGGAGCGGUCCGGACCCGCGCCGUGAAACCCCCUACUUCCGUCUCCGGACGAAGAGUGA
rnacentral:rRNA from 1 species